AUGGUGCCGCUGUUUGUUUUGCAAUGCCGACCCACGUGGGGGAGGAACGAAGCCUUGACUACUGGCAA